rnacentral:rRNA from 1 species
CAGUAGCCGCGGUAAAACGUAGGGUGCGAGCGUUGUCCGGAAUUACUGGGCGUAAAGAGCUCGUAGGCGGUUUGUCGCGUCGUCUGUGAAAUUCUGCAGCUUAACUGUAGGCGUGCAGGCGAUACGGGCAGACUUGAGUACUACAGGGGAGACUGGAAUUCCUGGUGUAGCGGUGAAAUGCGCAGAUAUCAGGAGGAACACCGGUGGCGAUGGCGGGUCUCUGGGUAGUAACUGACGCUGAGGAGCGAAAGCGUGGGUAGCGAACAGGAUUAGAUACCCCGUAGUCCCUGUCUCUUAUACA